rnacentral:rRNA from 1 species
UACGGAGGGGGCUAGCGUUAUUCGGAAUUACUGGGCGUCAAGCGCACGUAGGCGGCUUUGUAGGUCCGCGGUGAAAGCCUGGAGCUCAACUCCAGAACUGCCUUUGAGACUGCAUCGCUUGAAUCCAGGAGAGGUGAGUGGAAUUCCGAGUGUAGAGGUGAAAUUCGUAGAUAUUCGGAAGAACACCAGUGGCGAAGGCGGCUCACUGGCCCGAUACUGACGCUGAGGUGCGAAAGCGUGGGGAGCAAACAGG